rnacentral:lncRNA from 1 species
CUGACUUGCUAAAUAUGGAGGAAAAUUGCCUGGAGAAUCACCCAGAUCUGCAGUCUACUUUAUGAGACCAAGAUAUCAACUUCUUGUGGCCAUGCUAUGGAGAUUGCACAAUGGACCUAUUGCUUCAAAGGAGAGUCACACAACACUCCCCAGCCACUGUGUUGACAGCCCUGGGCUGGAGGAAAGGCAGCAGUCUUCACAGAGCUCACUUUACGGCUGGGCUCACCCUUCACCCCAAGACAGCUUUGAUCACUGGGAAGUUUCCACAAACACAGAAUGAAUGAGGAAGAAGGUGAUUAUAUUUUCGGUGUGAUCCACGUGGACGAGAGGUGUUGCAUGUUUUUACAAAUUGAAGAUCUGUGACAACCCUGG